NNAGUGGCUGCAAACAGCACCCUCCCUGGUAGUGUAUAUAGUGUGCUGCAUAUAUGGGUUACCCUAAGGGACCCUAGAGACAGCG
rnacentral:snoRNA from 1 species